rnacentral:misc_RNA from 1 species
AAGUCGUAACAAGGUUUCCGUAGGUGAACCUGCGGAAGGAUCAUUACAAUACUUUUACAAGUAUCAACCCAAAUUGUUGCACUGAAUGAGCGUCCGAUAGGAAAUACAAAAGUGGUUUGAGAGAAUUGGCGGCUUUGUGAAGUGCAUCGGCAUUUCGGUCAGUUCUCGAUUUCUCGCAAGCAAUUGUGAGAAAGCCCUUUUUUUCCUAGUUCGCGUAUUUUCUCAAUUUUUUUUUUAACCCCUUUCACCAAAUACAAAUUAAACAACGAUUGAACUGAAUUCGAAGGAUGCUGAAAAGCGUCUAAUUCGAUUCUAUCUUUACGAAACGUAAGAACAACUCUUAACAACGGAUAUCUUGGCUCUC